AUUGCUUCUUGGCCUUUUAGCUAAGAUCAAGUAUAGUAUCUGUUCUUAUCAGUUUAAUAUCUGAUAUGUCCUUUAUCCAAGGACAAUAUAUUAAAUGGAUUUUUGGAGCAGGGAGUGGGAAUAGGAGCUUGCUCCGUCUACUCCAUUCAUUGACCUGAUAUUGCAGUACUUCAAGGAAUGGUGCACCCUGC